rnacentral:rRNA from 1 species
GAUUUCUGGCCUGAAACAUUUUGCCGGCCGCGGUUUCGCGUGUUAGUGCUUGAUGUUCUGGCCAUCCUUCCAAUGGCUAUUCACUUUUCUUCAUUGAUGGGUGAGUGGUAUUGGAUCUUUUACUUUGAAAAAAUUAGAGUGUUUCAAGCAGGCUUUAUGCUAUGAAUACAUUAGCAUGGAAUAAUAAUUUAGGACUUCGGUUCUAUUUUGUUGGUUUCUAGGACUGAAGUAAUGAUUGAUAGGGAUAGUUGGGGGUGCUGGUAUUCAGCGGCCAGAGGUGAAAUUCUCGGAUUCGCUGAAGACCAACUUAUGCGAAAGCAUU